rnacentral:rRNA from 1 species
UACGUAGGUGGCAAGCGUUAUCCGGAAUUAUUGGGCGUAAAGAGCGCGCAGGUGGUUGAUUAAGUCUGAUGUGAAAGCCCACGGCUUAACCGUGGAGGGUCAUUGGAAACUGGUCGACGUGAGUGCAGAAGAGGGAAGUGGAAUUCCAUGUGUAGCGGUGAAAUGCGUAGAGAUAUGGAGGAACACCAGUGGCGAAGGCGGCUUCCUGGUCUGUAACUGACACUGAGGCGCGAAAGCGUGGGGAGCAAACAGGAUUAGAUA